UACGUAGGGGGCAAGCGUUGUCCGGAUUUAUUGGGCGUAAAGAGCGUGUAGGCGGCUGGGUAGGUCCGCUGUGAAAACUCGAGGCUUAACCUCGAGACGUCGGUGGAAACCAUCCAGCUAGAGUCCGGAAGAGGAGAGUGGAAUUCCUGGUGUAGCGGUGAAAUGCGCAGAUAUCAGGAAGAACACCCGUGGCGAAAGCGGCUCUCUGGGACGGUACUGACGCUGAGGUGCGAAAGCGUGGGGAGCAAACAGG
rnacentral:rRNA from 1 species